rnacentral:lncRNA from 1 species
GUGUGAAGCCCCAGUGCAGAAAGUGAAAGUGGGACUAAUCCCGGCUGCUGCAGCACCGCCGAGUGAGCGCCAGGGAGGGGCGGGGCUCCAGGGCACGGCGCCCGGUCACGUGACGCGCGUCCGCCCAAUCCCAGCGGGCCCUCGCCGCGCGCAGAGCUGGGCCUGGGUAGCUCUUCUCUCUCAAUGAAAGCUAUAUUUUGGGCUGUUACCACCUAAACGCCAUGUGGAAACAAUGCACCUCCCUCCACUUCAGGUCCCCCUUGCCUGUAAACCUCGAGAGCUGGACGUCCCUUAGCCUGGGAGUUCCUGGACACUGUGCACAAUCACUCGUCAACCGCUACCUACUAGGUAUAGGUUCAUCUAGGCCAGCAGGGAAGGUGCCACUUGGAAGAUUGCUGGGUUUCCUGCUUCGAAGUCUUCAGGAGCGGGCUGAGCUGCGCUGGUGUGCCGCUUAGGACUGCAAUGAGGAGGGUGACGUUAGAAGGUCUUUAAAACGUUACGUUUACUAUUUUAGGAAACAGAUUUUCAAAGAAUCAAGGGUAGGGGACAAAAUACAUUUGGGCUAGGAUUUUAGUGAAGAGGGAUCACGCCCAGAAUGAGGGAUAGUAAAAGAGUGGUGGUAUGGGGCUCUGAUAUCGCUUAAUCUGUAAU